rnacentral:rRNA from 1 species
GACGAACGCUGGCGGCGUGCUUAACACAUGUGAGUCGAACGGAAAGGCCCUGCUUUUGUGGGGUGCUCGAGUGGCGAACGGGUGAGUAACACGUGAGUAACCUGCCCUUGACUUUGGGAUAACUUCAGGAAACUGGGGCUAAUACCGGAUAGGAGCUCCUGCUGCAUGGUGGGGGUUGGAAAGUUUCGGCGGUUGGGGAUGGACUCGCGGCUUAUCAGCUUGUUGGUGGGGUAGUGGCUUACCAAGGCUUUGACGGGUAGCCGGCCUGAGAGGGUGACCGGCCACAUUGGGACUGAGAUACGGCCCAGACUCCUACGGGAGGCAGCAGUGGGGAAUAUUGCACAAUGGGCGGAAGCCUGAUGCAGCAACGCCGCGUGCGGGAUGACGGCCUUCGGGUUGUAAACCGCUUUCGCCUGUGACGAAGCGUGAGUGACGGUAAUGGGUAAAGAAGCACCGGCUAACUACGUG